CGGGAAAGUUUGGAGCCUCCGGGGAAACGCCGGGUCGGCGUCAGUGUAGGAGCAGUGCGGAGUGACAAAGCUGCGAUCCCUGCACAAUAAUCAGUUACGCAAACAUUUCUGCUGUUGCUUACGAGUUUCUGUUGAUGUAACCGGGGCUGAGCGUCGUUAAUAUGCCGACAGGUUAGCAGCUAAUGGAAAUAUUUGAGCCCCAUUUCUCCAGCGCGUGUUUCAGAUUAAAGUCACAGCUCCACCUGUGCACCGAGCCUCACGGAGACUGUUGCAGUACAUAUGAUUAUUUACAACAUGCAAAAUGAGGGGCUUUUAAAUGCUGUGGAAAUUAUCCACUGGAAUAUACAAUGUAUCAGACCUGCUACCCAGAUCUCAUUAAUAAAUUAGCAUUGAUACUUUAUUAACAAAGAAAAACAAGAAAGAAGAAACUGCCACGUAAGCAGCUGGAAGCAGACAAAUAUGUAAAGUAUGGACACUAUUUUCCAUACUUUAAAUGCAGAAAAAGAGCUGUGGAGCUAUUUAAUUACACAGGCAGGACCCACACGGCCCUUUUCCAUCUUACAUUACUGCAGAUCAUGUUUCAGCAGCCGUGUGCUCCUGGAUCUGUGGAUGAUGCUUUUCCAUCCUGUACAUCUGUGAAAGGUCACUCUGUUUCUCACUAGCUGUGAAAUAAUUGCAGAGCCUUUUGUAACAUGUUGUUUAUCAGUUAAAGUUAGCCAACAAGCCCCACCCACACCACCACCACAGUGCUUUAAUAUUAUAGUAGAGCAAGAAAACCUGGAAAAUUCACAUGUGAGAAAUAAAGUGGGAACGUUCGCCUGCAAAUCCACGAAUAUGUUCUCACUGUUCAGAUCCAGUUCUGGUGAAGGCAACCAGUCAUCUCUCUGAAGGGAUAUUUAGAUCUGCCUCUGUGUUAGCAUUAGCCAACUUCUCUCGACAGAUGACGGUCGAGGUCCUCAGCUCGUCGCUGUCUGAAAGCUGAAACCGUCAUAAACAGACGUUUUCGAACAGCAGGUGUGUGUGCUCACUGAUGACCAUAUAAAGGAUAUCUCCUCUCUUUGACAUCAUGAACACUGCUUUCACAUCUGCACAUCUGUAAAUAAAGUAUACCCUCCUCAUUCA